rnacentral:rRNA from 1 species
GACAGAGGUGCCGAGCGUUAGGCGGAAUCACUGGGCUUAAAGCGUGUGUAGGCGGACUUCUAAGUACCUUGUGAAAUCCCACGGCUCAACCGUGGAACUGCUCGGUAUACUGGUUGUCUUGAGCCACUUAGGGGCAGUCGGAACAGACGGUGGAGCGGUGAAAUGCGUAGAUAUCGUGUGGAACGCCAAUGGUGAAAACAGGUCGCUGGGGAUGUGCCGACGCUGAGACACGAAAGCCAGGGGAGCGAACGGG